rnacentral:hammerhead_ribozyme from 1 species
GCACUGCUAAGGAGUCCCGUAAUAGGACGAAACGGCCGUUCAGUGC